rnacentral:tRNA from 1 species
UGCGGAAUAGAGCAGAUCGGUAGCUCGUCGGGCUCAUAACCCGAAAGUCAGUGGUUCAAGUCCAUUUUCCGCGA